rnacentral:rRNA from 1 species
CGUAGGGUCCAAGCGUUAUCCGGAAUCACUGGGCGUAAAGCGUGCGUAGGUGGCGCGUUAAGUGAGAUGUUAAAACGUGGGGCUCAACCCUGUCGGUGCAUCUCAUACUGGUGUGCUAGAGGACAGCAGAGGCAAGUGGAAUUAGCAGUGUAGCAGUGAAAUGCGUAGAUAUUGCUAGGAACACCAAUGGCGAAGGCAGCUUGCUGGGCUACUCCUGACACUGAGGUACGAAAGCGUGGGGAGCGAACAGGAUUAGAUACCCUGGUAGUCCACGCCGUAAACGAUGCAUACUAGACGUAUGGGGUAUCGACCCCCUGUGCGUCGAAGCUAACGCGAUAAGUAUGCCGCCUGGGAAGUACGGCCGCAAGGCUA